rnacentral:rRNA from 1 species
CACGUAGGGACCAAGCGUUGUCCGGAUUCAUUGGGCGUAAAGAGCCCGUAGGCGGUUCGAUAAGUCGGGUGUGAAACCUCCAGGCUCAACCUGGAGACGCCACCCGAUACUGUCGUGACUAGAGUCCAGUAGGGGAGCGUGGAAUUCCUGGUGUAGCGGUGAAAUGCGCAGAUAUCAGGAGGAACACCAGCGGCGAAGGCGGCGCUCUGGGCUGGAACUGACGCUCAUGUGCGAAAGCGUGGGGAGCAAACAGG